AGAGUUUGAUCCUGGCUCAGGACGAACGCUGGCGGCGUGCUUAACACAUGCAAGUCGAACGGAAAGGCUCCUGCUUGCAGGGGUACUCGAGUGGCGAACGGGUGAGUAACACGUGGGUGAUCUGCCCUUCACUUCGGGAUAAGCCUGGGAAACUGGGUCUAAUACCGGAUAGGACCAAUCUUUAGUGUGGUUGGUGGGAAGUUUUUUCGGUGGAGGAUGAGCCCGCGGCCUAUCAGCUUGUUGGUGGGGUAAUGGCCUACCAAGGCGACGACGGGUAGCCGGCCUGAGAGGGUGGACGGCCACAUUGGGACUGAGACACGGCCCAGACUCCUACGGGAGGCAGCAGUGGGGAAUAUUGCACAAUGGGCGGAAGCCUGAUGCAGCGACGCCGCGUGAGGGAUGACGGCCUUCGGGUUGUAAACCUCUUUCGCUAGGGAAGAAGCCCUUCGGGGUGACGGUACCUGGAUAAGAAGCACCGGCUAACUACGUGCCAGCAGCCGCGGUAAUACGUAGGGUGCGAGCGUUGUCCGGAAUUACUGGGCGUAAAGAGCUCGUAGGUGGUUUGUCGCGUCGUUUGUGAAAUUCCGGGGCUUAACUCCGGGCGUGCAGGCGAUACGGGCAAGCUGGAGUGCUGUAGGGGAGACUGGAAUUCCUGGUGUAGCGGUGGAAUGCGCAGAUAUCAUGAGGAACACCGAUGGCGAAAGCAGGUCUCUGGGCAGUUACUGACACUGAGGAGCGAAAGCAUGGGGUAGCGAACAGGAUUAGAUACCCUGGUAGUCCAUGCCGUAAACGUCGGGCGC
rnacentral:rRNA from 1 species